rnacentral:rRNA from 1 species
ACGCUGGCGGCGUGCCUAAUACAUGCAAGUCGAGCGAGCUGAAUUCAAAGAUCCCUUCGGGGUGAUUUGUUGGAUGCUAGCGGCGGAUGGGUGAGUAACACGUGGGCAAUCUGCCCUAAAGACUGGGAUACCACUUGGAAACAGGUGCUAAUACCGGAUAACAACACGAAUCGCAUGAUUCAAGUUUGAAAGGCGGCGCAAGCUGUCACUUUAGGAUGAGCCCGCGGCGCAUUAGCUAGUUGGUGGGGUAAAGGCCUACCAAGGCAAUGAUGCGUAGCCGAGUUGAGAGACUGAUCGGCCACAUUGGGACUGAGACACGGCCCAAACUCCUACGGGAGGCAGCAGUAGGGAAUCUUCCACAAUGGACGCAAGUCUGAUGGAGCAACGCCGCGUGAGUGAAGAAGGUUUUCGGAUCGUAAAGCUCUGUUGUUGGUGAAGAAGGAUAGAGGCAGUAACUGGUCUUUAUUUGACGGUAAUCAACCAGAAAGUCACGGCUAACUACGUGCCAGCAGCCGCGGUAAUACGUAGGUGGCAAGCGUUGUCCGGAUUUAUUGGGCGUAAAGCGAGCGCAGGCGGAAUGAUAAGUCUGAUGUGAAAGCCCACGGCUCAACCGUGGAACUGCAUCGGAAACUGUCAUUCUCGAGUGCAGAAGAGGAGAGUGGAACUCCAUGUGUAGCGGUGGAAUGCGUAGAUAUAUGGAAGAACACCAGUGGCGAAGGCGGCUCUCUGGUCUGCAACUGACGCUGAGGCUCGAAAGCAUGGGUAGCGAACAGGAUUAGAUACCCUGGUAGUCCAUGCCGUAAACGAUGAGCGCUAGGUGUUGGGGACUUUCCGGUCCUCAGUGCCGCAGCAAACGCAUUAAGCGCUCCGCCUGGGGAGUACGACCGCAAGGUUGAAACUCAAAGGAAUU